UACAGAGGUCUCAAGCGUUGUUCGGAUUCAUUGGGCGUAAAGGGUGCGUAGGUGGCGCUGUAAGUCGGGUGUGAAAUUUCGGAGCUUAACUCGGAAAGGUCAACUGAUACUGUGCGACUAGAGUGCAGAAGGGGCAACUGGAAUUCUCGGUGUAGCGGUGAAAUGCGCAGAUAUCGAGAGGAACACCUGCGGCGAAGGCGGGUUGCUGGGCUGAUACUGACGCUGAGGCGCGAAAGCUAGGGGAGCGAACGGG
rnacentral:rRNA from 1 species